UAUCCUAAAACCAUCGUACUUUGGAUCAAAAAAUAUGAGCCAUCACCUAACCCCCCAAUAGCUCUCUUGUUAGAAUCACCACCAGCUCUAGAACUGAAGCCACUUCCUGACGCACCUACUGACACCCUUCUAGUGAUCCCUAAUCAGAAAGCCCAACUUGUAGGUAUUCUAAAAGCAUAUAAAAAAGCUAUUGGAUGGGAUAUCUCUGAAAUGAGAGAUAAUGAUAUUGAGAUUUUUAUGAUUGAUUUCUCUAUUUUUAACACUACUUUCAAGGACUGUCUCCAAAAUCUUUCUAUGAUGUUAAAACAAUAUAUAG
rnacentral:lncRNA from 1 species